AUGCUCGCUUCGGCAGCACAUAAACUAACACUGGAACGAUACAGAGAAGAUUAGCAUGGCCCCUGUGCAAGGAUGACAUGCAAAUUUGUGAAGUGUGCCAUAUCUUU